UACGUAGGAGGCAAGCGUUGUCCGGAAUUACUGGGCGUAAAGAGUGUGUAGGCGGUGCUCCCAGUCUGUUGUGAAAUCUCCCGGCUUAACUGGGAGGGUGCAGCGGAAACUAGAGUGCUAGAGGGUGGGAGAGGUAAGCGGAAUUCCUGGUGUAGCGGUGAAAUGCGUAGAUAUCAGGAGGAACACCUGUGGUGUAGACAGCUUACUGGACCACUUCUGACGCUGAGACACGAAAGCGUGGGUAGCAAACAGG
rnacentral:rRNA from 1 species